AUUGAACGCUGGCGGCAGGCUUAACACAUGCAAGUCGAGCGGAGAUGAGGUGCUUGCACCUUAUCUUAGCGGCGGACGGGUGAGUAAUGCUUAGGAAUCUGCCUAUUAGUGGGGGACAACAUUCCGAAAGGAAUGCUAAUACCGCAUACGCCCUACGGGGGAAAGCAGGGGAUCUUCGGACCUUGCGCUAAUAGAUGAGCCUAAGUCGGAUUAGCUAGUUGGUGGGGUAAAGGCCUACCAAGGCGACGAUCUGUAGCGGGUCUGAGAGGAUGACCGCCACACUGGGACUGAGACACGGCCCAGACUCCUACGGGAGGCAGCAGUGGGGAAUAUUGGACAAUGGGCGCAAGCCUGAUCCAGCCAUGCCGCGUGUGUGAAGAAGGCCUUAUGGUUGUAAAGCACUUUAAGCGAGGAGGAGGCUACUUUGGAUAAUACCUAGAGAUAGUGGACGUUACUCGCAGAAUAAGCACCGGCUAACUCUGUGCCAGCCGCCGCCGUAACAC
rnacentral:rRNA from 1 species